CGAAAACCAACAGUGUUUUCUAGAUGCGAGUUAAAACUGGGACUUUCCCGGGCAAAUCAGGAUGAAUUGGUCAUCCUAGCUGAUUAGAGUGUGGGAGUGGGAUGGUUUGGGGGUCUUUUAUAAGCUGCCGUGUUUCAACUGACUAUUGGGUGGGUGAUUGUUUGCACACUUGGGUCAUUCUACCUGCUGGCUCAGGUGACUGAGACCCUUGAACUCCAGUAGGUCCAUGAGCUCUUCCUCUUACUCCUAUGUACCCUGGUUUCUCUGGGCACAAUGCCCAGAGACCAGCCUCGAGGGAAGACCACUGCUCCCAACAAUCCUCCUGGCUUACUUGCCACCAUGCCACUUCCCCUACGUAACGAACCAUUGUUGGGACUAAAGUACAUCCCUUCAGGAAGAAAACAGCAGCUCUCUACUUUGCAUCAGAGUUAGAAAAAAUGAGCUAGACCCUUUUGGCAACCCAUCUUGCAGAUGAGGAAACUGGAUUCUAGGGAAGGAAAAAGGUCUGCAACCUUGAACUUCU
rnacentral:lncRNA from 1 species